UAAAAGAUAAGCUAAUAUAAGCUAAUGGGCUCAUACCCCAAUAAUGAAAGUAAAUUCUUUCUCUUUUUA
rnacentral:tRNA from 1 species